GAUUAAGGCAUUGCACAAACGAAGUGGCAGACUGCACUGCGGACAGGAAGAGAGCUCUCGAAACCUCCUUCCCCGAAGCGAAGGCCUCUGGUCAAGACGGACUUUAUCUCGACGAGAAUUGUCUAAGCGCAGUCGAACCUUGAGAGAUAAGACGGUGGUAGUCGCGAUAUCGGGGCACGGCGGCCCAGUUUAGAAACACUCGUCGACUGUGCUACAUCGCUUCUGUGCUUUAGCACAACCCCAUUUGGAUAUCGCACCAUGAGACUGACGGGCGGGCAUGAAUGCAAGAGAGAGAGAGUGCUCACCCGAAGCCAUUGGUGGUUCGUGGCGGGUUGUCAUCGUCCCAGCAGGGCUCCACCACAAUACGCACGGGGCUCUGGACCAGGUGGGGACCGUUGGUGGCCGCUAGUUCCUCCAGGCGAUCAAAGUCCGUGCGAUCAACCCCAUUCAUUGCGACGGGGGUCUCGGGUGGACCUGCGAGGCACAAGCACCGGGGUCAGACGCCACGCCUCCGCCCAGCCAGCUCCGGCGCAUAGCAACAUGCCAAAGGCCCACCGAAUUUAUCUAUGCAAUUCAAUUCGUAAUGCCGUUGCUCUCGGCCAGGGGGCACUGUGGCGUUCGCAAGACAGAAGCUCCUCAAUAAAUUUCACACUUCGCGUUUCUUGAACGCGAGAGACAUGUGCCACGAGCGAGUGCUGAGUCGCUCGUUUCAGUGCCGAGCUUCCAUUUGCAUCCAAGGCUGCAAGAGGUACUGGCCUUGUGUAUUGGCACAUUCGACGCUACUUGCAAGACAAGCACAAACACAUCAAAGGACUUUCCAAGGAAUGGGACCCUGUAGUGGUAGCAUAAAGCAGCACUGUGGCCUCUGGUCAUGAAGGAACGAACCACAAGUGUCUUUGUGUGCUAAUAAAGGGAAUGGAAGAUUUAAAAAAAGUUUUUUAAUUAACUGAAGAGACAUGCAGCAAGUAUCUUCAGCGUCAUAUUGAAGCACUAGUGCAAUCUUUUCAGCUUUUGUGUUUUUGCUAUUUUCUGCGAGCAACGCGAGCGAGCACGACAAGGUGAAAUCCGAAUGAGACUAAAAGAUAUCCGGUUUUGCUAGUCAGGGGCACUGCUCAAAACAUGAGCUAAAGGCCCAUAUGCAGGAAAUCGCUUAAUCUUAGAUUAUGACUAAAAUCACAACAAAAGAGUAACGCAGUUUAAAAUUAUUCCAGGUGUGAACAACUGCAAGCUACUCCUGAACCAUUUUCACCGGCUUCAGAAUCUGUGCACUUCGUGCUCAUACAAGAGAAGAGGAUUAUUGAAUUCUCUAUCUCCACCAAGCGGGACCAAGAAAAAAGAGAACCUUUUGUGCCUUCAAGUUCAAAUUCAAUACUCUCAAGGAAGUCCGGACACUGAUGCCACUGAUCCAUCUCCA